GUGGGGAAUAUUGGACAAUGGGGGGAACCCUGAUCCAGCCAUGCCGCGUGUGUGAAGAAGGCCUUUUGGUUGUAAAGCACUUUAAGCAAGGAGGAGGCUACCGAGAUUAAUACUCUUGGAUAGUGGACGUUACUCGCAGAAUAAGCACCGGCUAACUCUGUGCCAGCAGCCGCGGUAAUACAGAGGGUGCAAGCGUUAAUCGGAUUUACUGGGCGUAAAGCGCGCGUAGGUGGCCAAUUAAGUCAAAUGUGAAAUCCCCGAGCUUAACUUGGGAAUUGCAUUCGAUACUGGUUGGCUAGAGUAUGGGAGAGGAUGGUAGAAUUCCAGGUGUAGCGGUGAAAUGCGUAGAGAUCUGGAGGAAUACCGAUGGCGAAGGCAGCCAUCUGGCCUAAUACUGACACUGAGGUGCGAAAGCAUGGGGAGCAAACAGGAUUAGAUACCCGUGUAGUCC
rnacentral:rRNA from 1 species